CCCCUUACCGCAUACAGAGCCAUAUAUGGACGACGAAGUUUAUGAAUUUUUUAUAGGCUAACUAUAAACAAUAUCUAAAAAAACUACCUUACAUCUUAAACAGCAUUUCAUCGAGAAUUGGAAUGUAAUUAAUUUAUACAGUGUAAAUAUUAUCCAUCAGAUAUAUUAUAGAUUUAGUCUAGCGCGUGCGACGGUUUGGGUGCGCGGAAAAAACCGUGAUUUUCAAAUUAAGAUUUCAAUAUCAAAAAGCCAUAUAUGACAGAAAAAAUACAACAAACACUGCAUACGAGUCCAUAUAUGGCGCCGUUAUAUAUUUUCUAUAAUAUAAGUAAAUAAUUUUUUUUCUCAAUUUGAUCUCAUAAUGUAAGGUCUAAUAAACACUUUUUUGCAAAAAAA